AUGUGGGCACACACACGUGGAGGCACACACACACACACAGGGAUGUCUACACACGGGGAUGCACACACACACACACACAGGGGCACACACAUACAUGGACACCUGGACACACAUACACACACACACGAGGGGUGUUACACACACACGGGUUGGGGAUGCACACACCCAGGGAUGUACACACAUGAGGAUACACGCACAUACACACACACACAGGGAUUGUGCACACACAUGGACACACACGGGGGGGUGUACACACUCAGGAACGUACACACACACAGGGGGAUACACACACACGAACACACACACACACACUCAGGAAUGUACACGCAUGAUGACACACACAGAGGGGGAACACACACAUGGUUGGACACACACGGGGGCACACACACAUGGGGGCACACACACACAGGGAUGCAGACACACACAGAUGCACACACACGGGGGGACCACACACACACAGGGAUACGCACACACACACAGCUCACACACACACACACACACGGAUGCACACACACAUGGGGGCACAAACACUCUCACAGGGAUGCACACACACACUCAGCUCACGCACACACACACAGAUGCACACACACACACAGAUGCACACACACACUCACAGGGAUGCACACACACUCACAGGGAUGCACACACACGCACAGAUGCACACACACGCACACACAAGGAUGCACACACACACACAGGGAUGUGCAUACGUGGGGACACACAGGAUGCACACACACACACACACAGGGAUGUGCAUACACGGGGACACCCAGGAUGCACACACACACAGCUCACACACACGCACACACGCGGGGUGUGACACACUCGCACACGCGCGUGCGCUACUUGCUGUUGUGCUGCGGGCUGUGCUCGGGCAGCAGGCUGCGAGUGACGCUUACCGUGGCUCCGCAGGACAGCGCCGAGGCGCCCAGCGCGAUCAGACACAGCCAGGUCUGCAACCACAGCGGGACGGAGCCUCACAUCCUUCCUGCCCCACAUCUGCCCCUUCCUGCCCCACGUCUGCCCCUUCCUGCCCCACAUCUGUUGUUUCCUGCCCCACGUCUGCUCCUUCCUGCCCCACGUCUGCCCAUUCCUGCCCCACAUCUGCUCCUCCCUGCCCCACAUCU
rnacentral:lncRNA from 1 species